rnacentral:rRNA from 1 species
UAAGUAACCUGCCUCUUAGCGGGGGAUAACUAUUGGAAACGAUAGCUAAUACCGCGUACAAGUCGACAUUGCAUGAUGUUGACUUGAAAGGUGCAACUGCAUCACUAAGAGAUGGACCUGCGUUGUAUUAGCUAGUUGGUGAGGUAACGGCUCACCAAGGCGACGAUACAUAGCCGACCUGAGAGGGUGAUCGGCCACACUGGGACUGAGACACGGCCCAGACUCCUACGGGAGGCAGCAGUAGGGAAUCUUCGGCAAUGGACGGAAGUCUGACCGAGCAACGCCGCGUGAGUGAAGAAGGUUUUCGGAUCGUAAAGCUCUGUUGUAAGAGAAGAACGAGUGUGAGAGUAGAAAGUUCACACUGUGACGGUAACUUACCAGAAAGGGACGGCUAACUACGUGCCAGCAGCCGCGGUAAUACGUAGGCCCCGAGCGUUAUCCGGAUUUAUUGGGCGUAAAGCGAGCGCAGGCGGUUAGAUAAGUCUGAAGUUAAAGGCUGUGGCUUAACCAUAGUACGCUUUGGAAACUGUUUAACUUGAGUGCAGAAGGGGAGAGUGGAAUUCCAUGUGUAGCGGUGAAAUGCGUAGAUAUAUGGAGGAACACCGGUGGCGAAAGCGGCUCUCUGG